rnacentral:tRNA from 1 species
GAGGGUAUAGCUCAGUGGUAGGGUCCAUGCCUAACAUGCAUGAGGUCAUGGGUUCAAUCCUCGAUACCUCCA